GAUGAACGCUAGCGAUAGGCUUAACACAUGCAAGUCGAGGGGCAGCAUGGUCUUAGCUUGCUAAGACUGAUGGCGACCGGCGCACGGGUGCGUAACGCGUAUGCAACUUGCCUCACAGAGGGGGAUAACCCGUCGAAAGACGGACUAAUACCGCGUACACUUGGGAUAGGGCAUCCUGACCCAAGGAAAUGAAAUUCGCUGUGAGAUAGGCAUGCGUCCCAUUAGCUAGUUGGUGAGGUAACGGCUCACCAAGGCGACGAUGGGUAGGGGAACUGAGAGGUUGAACCCCCACACUGGUACUGAGACACGGACCAGACUCCUACGGGAGGCAGCAGUGAGGAAUAUUGGUCAAUGGGCGAGAGCCUGAACCAGCCAAGUCGCGUGAAGGAUGACUGUCUUAUGGAUUGUAAACUUCUUUUAUACGGGAAUAACAAGAGUCACGUGUGGCUCACUGAAUGUACCGGAUGAAUAAGCAUCGGCUAACUCCGUG
rnacentral:rRNA from 1 species